rnacentral:rRNA from 1 species
UGGGGAAUAUUGCACAAUGGGCGAAAGCCUGAUGCAGCAACGCCGCGUGAGUGAUGAGGGUCUUCGGAUUGUAAAGCUCUGUCUUUUGGGACGAUAAUGACGGUACCAAAGGAGGAAGCCACGGCUAACUACGUGCCAGCAGCCGCGGUAAUACGUAGGUGGCGAGCGUUGUCCGGAUUUACUGGGCGUAAAGGGUGCGUAGGCGGAUGUUUAAGUGAGAUGUGAAAUACCCGGGCUUAACUUGGGUGCUGCAUUUCAAACUGGAUAUCUAGAGUGCAGGAGAGGAGAAUGGAAUUCCUAGUGUAGCGGUGAAAUGCGUAGAGAUUAGGAAGAACACCAGUGGCGAAGGCGAUUCUCUGGACUGUAACUGACGCUGAGGCACGAAAGCGUGGGUAGCAAACAGGAUUAGAUACCCUGGUAGUCCACGCCGUAAACGAUGAGUACUAGGUGUAGGAGGUAUCGACCCCUUCUGUGCCGCAGUAAACACAUUAAGUACUCCGCCUGGGAAGUACCNAUCGCAAGAUUAAAAC